rnacentral:lncRNA from 1 species
CGGCUGACCUGUGACAUAAAAAGAAGUUCAUUCAGGCCAUGUUUUCAGCUCCACCAGAAGUUAGCACAAUCUCGACGCUUUUGCGAGGCUCACUAAGGCUUACGAAUGCAGUCUAAUAUUUGCUUCGAAUG